CAUUGAAAGAUGUUUUAAAUUGUUGUAUUAUUAUUAGUCAAUGAUUUUCCCAGUUUUAUAUAAAGUUACAUUUAAUAUAACUUUAACUAACUUUAAAAUACUGUAAUUAUAAUUUUUAAUUAUGGUUAACUGGUGAGCACCCUUGUGUUCACACAAUUAUGUUAAAGAAUCGUGUAGUUUUUUCGUUUUCCGACAAAUGUGAAAUUAUGAAAUUCUUGGACGAAUAUAGUUAGAACCAAAACAUUAAGAUGUAAUGUAGACGAAGAAUGUGAUAAAACUGCUAAAAUUGAUCCAAUUAUUAAUGAAGAACCCAAUACUGAUAGUGCAGAUUUAAUUUUCGAGAAAAACACAAUUCUCUGGAGACACAAUUUCUCUGGAGAAAAAUUUUGAAUGUUAUUUUCUGGAAAAGGAAAAUGAAGACUCGAAAAAAGAAAUUGAGAUCUUAAAAAGACAUCCAUUUGGUCAUCAUUAAAUUUCAAAAAAUGAUAAAAAAAGGAAUCUGUCAGAUCAGUACGUGUAUGAACAGAACGGAAACGUUCAAAUGUGAAUUAUUUAAAUUAAAACACAUAAUAAAAUAUUUUACGGAACGGAUGGUACGGUAUCUGUCGAUAGUAUGAAAAAUUUUUAAUAAUUGUAAUUUGAGAGCACAAAUUAUUUUUCUAUGCAAAGUAAAAAUGUAGGCUUAUGGCCACUAUGGCACUUGAAGUCGUUGUAUUUUUAUUUGACCUGAGUAAAAUUUAAGAAGUUCAGCACUACUGUGCCUCAAUGAAAGUUUGUUCAUAUUUAUAAAAUAAUAUG